rfam:Picea glauca, whole genome shotgun sequence.
AUGUACAUUCCUACAAUAUAGCAUUAAUGCACUCGAUCACAUUAGAACUUCUUAGUUAAUCACGCUCGUGGUAGAGUAGUACUCGGAUGGGUGACCACCCAUGAAUUCCUAGUGUUUUACAUG